CCUUACUUCAUUGAAACACUACGCGUGACACUGUUCUCCUGGAUGGCCUCUGCGACGAUCUCUGAUCCUCUUGCGUUCUCCGACGACCUUCUCGGGUGAAAUCUCCUCUGGCAUCGAUCUGCAUCAACGACAUCUCCUACAGUGGUGAUUUCCUCCAAUGGCGUCUCCUCCAGCUUCCUCUCCUUGUCAUCCUUUGUGUCUUCUCUGCCAAAAUUGUCAACGCCUUCCUCUACGAUGAUCCAGGUCAGCUUCCUUUCCUUCCUUUCCUCUCCUUUCCUUCCUUACCAUUCAGAUCCGCCACUAGGAAUUGCGUUCCGCAGGAGAGGAAUUCCUUUGUUAACUUCCAAGCCAAAACUGGUGUAGAGAAUACAGAACUGUGUCUGGUGUUGCUGGACUGUUGGUUAUUCUUGAUAAAGUUAAGGUAAUGACUAGUUUUGAUGCUAUGCUUAUUGCAUAUUCUAGAAUUUUGAACUUUUCUCAAUGAGAUGUAUCACUUUCUAUGCGGUGUGACUGAAUUUUAUAUUGAUCAACUGCAAUAGGGACCAAAAUUUCAAGAGAUUGUUAAACUAGAAAUUAAACUUUCUAUUUCUUGUGUAAUUAUUUGAACUAGAAAUUAAACUUUCUAUUUCUUGUGCAGUAAUCUUAGCAACAAGCACAUUCGAGGGCCAUUCCAUUCACUGUGUAAUAAACAUUGUGAAUAUACUGCUUAAAAAAUAAAUUAUAAACAUUAUGAAUAUACUGCUUUUGUGUUGUGUGCAGACUGCCAUUGUGAAUUCAUAGACCCUUGAAGAAGUUGCAAGACUUAAAAAGGUCCUUGCUUUUCUAGAUCUGAUGUUCACUUAUUCAAUUUUGAUUUUUGCUCUCUGCUGUUUA